UACGAAGGGGGCUAGCGUUGCUCGGAAUCACUGGGCGUAAAGGGUGCGUAGGCGGGUUUUUAAGUCAGGGGUGAAAUCCUGGAGCUCAACUCCAGAACUGCCUUUGAUACUGAAGAUCUUGAGUCCGGGAGAGGUGAGUGGAACUGCGAGUGUAGAGGUGAAAUUCGUAGAUAUUCGCAAGAACACCAGUGGCGAAGGCGGCUCACUGGCCCGGUACUGAUGCUGAGGCACGAAAGCGUGGGGAGCAAACAGG
rnacentral:rRNA from 1 species